CAGAGGGUGCGAACGUUGCUCGGAAUUACUGGGCGUAAAGCGCGUGUAGGCGGGUCGGCAAGUCAGGCGUGAAAUCCCCAGGCUCAACCUGGGAACUGCGCUUGAAACUGCCGGUCUUGAGUAUCGGAGAGGGUGGCGGAAUUCCUGGUGUAGAGGUGAAAUUCGUAGAUAUCAGGAGGAACACCGGUGGCGAAGGCGGCCACCUGGACGAUUACUGACGCUGAGACGCGAAAAGCGUGGGGAGCAAACAGGAUUAGAUACCCUGGUAGUCCACGCCGUAAACGAUGGGUGCUAGGUGUCUCGGGGUAUUGACCCCUGAGGUGCCGUAGCUAACGCGUUAAGCACCCCGCCUGGGAAGUACGGCCGCAAGGCUA
rnacentral:rRNA from 1 species